UGAGCAUUUGUGAGUUGUAACUUGCUUGGAA
rnacentral:piRNA from 1 species